GAUUUUUAGUUGCUGCGCGCGCGCGCGGCGGCGUCGGCGUCGGCGGCUCUGCUCGUGCUGCGUCCGUCGACGACCCUCGGAAAAACACCAGCCAUGCAAAAAAAAUCGCCGUAUCCAAUCCAAUCAGAUCUUCCUCCCAAAUCGAUCGGCAAAUCCAUUACUAGCUAGCCUAGCCUGCUUCUGUACUAUACGUAUACGGUAUACUACUAAAAUAAUAAUGCUCCUUCCUGCUGCCAAGAAACUUAUAUGAGGCCAGCUGCUCGAGCUCGAUGAGCCGGAUGGGACCUCUUCUCUAGUAGUAUAUAUGAGAGCGAGAUGAGGUGGGUCUGAAGACUGUGCCCUGCGAGCUCAGCUCCAUCGGAGAGCUUUGCAGUUUGCACUGCACAGCUCUGACUCUAAGGACUGUGAUCCUUGUGUGCACUGCCUAGCCGCCAUGGCUGCUUCCUCCAUGGACAGGAUCACCCAGUGGGUGUCCUCCCAGGUCCAGCAGGUCUCCGCCGACCUCACCGUCAGGAUCGCCGACUCCGUCUUCCCUCUCCACAAGGCGGUGAUGGUGCCCAAGUGCGGCUACAUCCGCCGGGCCGUGGCAGCGGCGGCGGCGGUGGCGACGAGCCAGACGCAGGGCCCGGGGCCCGCCUCCGUCGAGCUGGACCUCUCGGCGCUGCCGGGCGGCGCCGACGCCUUCGAGAAGGCGGCGCGCUACUGCUACGGGGGCAGCCUGGAGAUCACGGCGCGCGACGCGGCGGCGGUCCGCUGCGCCGCGGCGUUCCUCGACGCCCCGGACCUGGCGCGCCGCGCCGAGGACUACCUCGCGCAGACCGCGCUCCGGUCGCUGCCAGGCGCCGCCGCCGUGCUGCGGUCCUGCGAGUGCGAGGCGCUGCUCCGGGCCGCCGAGGAGACCGGCGUCGCGCGCCGCGCCGCGGACGCCGUCGCGCUCGGGGUCUGCAACGAGGCGCUGUUCCCGACGGCGCGGGCGGCACCUGGGUGGUGGGUGGCCGAGCUCGCCGCGCUGUCGCCCGCGUCGUUCCGGAAGGUGGUCACCGCGCUGCGGUGCCGCCGCGCGGGUCCGGAGGUGGUGGCCGCCGCGGCCGUCGCGUACGCGGAGCGCGUCCUGGCCGGGGUCCUCGCACCCGCUGCGCCCGGCCGCCGGGACGCCGUCGUCGUCGUCGCGAGGAACGCGGACGCGGACGCGGACCGGCGGGCGCUGCUUGAGGCCGUCGUGGACGCGCUGCCUCCCGCGGCCGACGCGCCGCUCCCGGCCGCGUUCCUCUGCCGCCUCCUGCACGCCGUGGUCACCGCCGAGGCGUCCGCCAAGACGUGCCGCGACAUGGAGCUCCGCGUGGCGGGCGUGCUGCACCAGGCCACCGCGGGGGACCUGCUGGGCGUCGCGCUCGACGGCGCCGGGGAGCGCGUCCGGAACGCGGACACCGUGCGCCGCGUCGUGGCCGCGUUCGUCGAGCGGCCGCAGACGCAGGAGGGCCGGCGGGCGUCGCUGGCCGGAGGACCAGCAGCAGGCGAGCUCGGCGCGCUGGAGAAGGUGGCGAAGACGGUGGACGAGGUGGCGGCGGAGAUGGCGACGGAGGAGUCGCUGGGCAUCUCCAAGUUCGUGGGCGUGGCGGGCGCGGUGCCCAAGGACGCGCGGGCGUCGCACGACUGCCUGUACCGCGCCGUGGACAUGUACCUGAAGACGCACCCGGGGCUGGACGAGAUCGAGAGGGAGAAGGUGUGCAGCGUCAUGGACCCGCUCAGGCUCUCGUACCAGGCGCGCCUGCACGCGUCGCAGAACAAGCGCCUGCCGCUGCAGGCCGUGCUCAGCGCGCUCUACUACGACCAGCUCAAGCUCCGCAGCGCCGACGGCGGCGGCGGCGAUGGUGCGGAGGGAGGAGCAGGGUGGGAGCCGCAGUCGGCCGCCGGGAAGGCUCGAGCGCAGGCGCGGGCGGACGCGUCGCUGGCGAGGGAGAACGAGGCGCUGAGGUCGGAGCUGGCGAGGAUGCGGGCGUACGUGUCGGGGAUGCAGCAGCACAGCAAGGGGAGCGGGUCGAGGUCGUCGUCGGCGUCGCUGGUGCCGGCGUCGGCGGCGGGGAAGAAGGCGAGCUUCUUGGGGUCGGUGUCACGGACGUUGAGCCGGCUGAACCCGUUCAAGGGCGGGUGGGCCAAGGACACGGCCAGCAUCGCCGACGGACGUGACAGGAGCGCCAUGCAUGUGGUCAAGCCCAAGAGGAGAAGAAAGCACGACAAAUGGGUUGCGGAUAACUGGGGAGCACCUGCAGCAAGUCUGCCGAGACUGACAAAGAGGAUCAUGGGACGCUUCUUCCUGGCAGAGCUGUUGGUUCCUCUGCUGCUUCCACAACUAAACUAAUAAAUAGGGUUUAAGAAGAUUCUUCGUUGACUGAUGUGUUCUUCCUAGGCAAAAAGGAUGUCGAAGAAGAAGCAAAGAUCACCGCCAUGGUCUCACCUCACUCCAGAGCUCCUCGCCCUGGUGUUCCUCUGCCUCCCUAGGUGUGCAGAUCGUGCCUUGUUUACAGCCGUCUGCGGCGCUUGGCGCUCUGCGGUGCAGCAGUGCCGCCUGCAGCCGUCGCCAGUGCCGUGGCUCGUACUUCCCGAGCGGCGGUGAGAUACUGGCACUGUGCCGACCUGGAGAUGUUGCAUGGUCUGUGGGAACAAACGAAGACUGCCAGCGGCUCUUAGACAUAGUCUUCUUCAGGGGGAAGCUCUACGCUAUUGGUGACUACAGUGGGCAGCAGUAUCUUCUUGCCAUUGAAAUUGUGGAUGAGAAUGGCAACAGUGAGCCAAGGGUGUCUCAAAUUGAGUUCAUAUUCGUUGGAGUCCCCAUAACAUCCCACUGUUCCUACCUUGUUGAAUUGCAUGGCAGAUUGCUGGUGAUCUGCAGGCAAAUCUAUCGUCAGUUCAUCACAUUCACCUCGCUCUGAUGCGCUUGGAUAAAGUACCUGUUGCUUGUUUUGCUAGUCUGUAUUGCCCAACUGCCCAUUUGUGCUGGCUGUGUAAAGCAGAUGCUGUAAUGGUGCUCUUCCCACUGGGUGUUUCUUUCUGAAGUUGAUGAGGACCGACCUCUGUUAAUGAUUACCCAAGUGAUUUGUUAGGCAAUGUUUAUGCUCA